rnacentral:rRNA from 1 species
GAUGAACGCUAGCUACAGGCUUAACACAUGCAAGUCGAGGGGCAGCAUUUCAGUUUGCUUGCAAACUGGAGAUGGCGACCGGCGCACGGGUGAGUAACACGUAUCCAACCUGCCGAUAACUCGGGGAUAGCCUUUCGAAAGAAAGAUUAAUACCCGAUGGUAUAAUCAGACCGCAUGGUCUUGUUAUUAAAGAAUUUCGGUUAUCGAUGGGGAUGCGUUCCAUUAGGCAGUUGGUGAGGUAACGGCUCACCAAACCUUCGAUGGAUAGGGGUUCUGAGAGGAAGGUCCCCCACAUUGGAACUGAGACACGGUCCAAACUCCUACGGGAGGCAGCAGUGAGGAAUAUUGGUCAAUGGGCGCAGGCCUGAACCAGCCAAGUAGCGUGAAGGAUGACUGCCCUAUGGGUUGUAAACUUCCUUUAUAUGGGAAUAAAGUUUUCCACGUGUGGAAUUUUGUAUGUACCAUAUGAAUAAGGAUCGGCUAACUCCGUGCCAGCAGCCGCGGUAAUACGGAGGAUCCGAGCGUUAUCCGGAUUUAUUGGGUUUAAAGGGAGCGUAGGUGGACAGUUAAGUCAGUUGUGAAAGUUUGCGGCUCAACCGUAAAAUUGCAGUUGAUACUGGCUGUCUUGAGUACAGUAGAGGUGGGCGGAAUUCGUGGUGUAGCGGUGAAAUGCUUAGAUAUCACGAAGAACUCCGAUUGCGAAGGCAGCUCACUGGACUGCAACUGACACUGAUGCUCGAAAGUGUGGGUAUCAAACAGGAUUAGAUACCCUGGUAGUCCACACAGUAAACGAUGAAUACUCGCUGUUUGCGAUAUACAGUAAGCGGCCAAGCGAAAGCAUUAAGUAUUCCACCUGGGGAGUACGCCGGCAACGGUGAAACUCAAAGGAAUUGACGGGGGCCCGCACAAGCGGAGGAACAUGUGGUUUAAUUCGAUGAUACGCGAGGAACCUUACCCGGGCUUAAAUUGCAUUUGAAUAUAUUGGAAACAGUAUAGCCGUAAGGCAAAUGUGAAGGUGCUGCAUGGUUGUCGUCAGCUCGUGCCGUGAGGUGUCGGCUUAAGUGCCAUAACGAGCGCAACCCUUAUCUUUAGUUACUAACAGGUCAUGCUGAGGACUCUAGAGAGACUGCCGUCGUAAGAUGUGAGGAAGGUGGGGAUGACGUCAAAUCAGCACGGCCCUUACGUCCGGGGCUACACACGUGUUACAAUGGGGGGUACAGAAGGCAGCUACCUGGUGACAGGAUGCUAAUCCCAAAAGCCUCUCUCAGUUCGGAUCGAAGUCUGCAACCCGACUUCGUGAAGCUGGAUUCGCUAGUAAUCGCGCAUCAGCCAUGGCGCGGUGAAUACGUUCCCGGGCCU